rnacentral:lncRNA from 1 species
UUCAUUGCUUCAUUCUUUCAUUGCUUUGCUGUGCAUUCUGUCCAAUUCUUUGUUCAAAAUGCCAAGAACCUGGACAAUUUGCAGUCAAGACCCUCCACCGGGAUAUGAACUUCCAAUUAUAUCAUUGGACUUGACUACUCCAUUUCUUUCCACAUUUAAAAAUCAAUCAGGGAGAAGCUAUUUUGAGAACUUAACACAGUAUUUAACAUGGGAUUUCUGAAUGAAGACAGUUUAUGGAUGAAUAAGUGACUUAGAAAACAGUUUGAUACUAUUAAGGAAGCCAUAACUGAAUUAUAUUAAAGCUGGAAGCACAACACUAUCAAACACUGAAACACACAAAAUGAUUCUUUGUUUUAUCCCAAGGUAUUAGUGAUAAAAAGAUCAUAGUUCUCAAACACAGAUUUAUUUCCUUCCUCCCUCCCUCUCU